rnacentral:rRNA from 1 species
CCUACGGGAGGCAGCAGUGAGGAAUAUUGGUCAAUGGCCGUAAGGCUGAACCAGCCAAGUAGCGUGAGGGAAGACUGCCCUAUGGGUUGUAAACCUCUUUUAUGCGGGGAUAAAGGUGUCAACGUGUGGAUGUUUGCAGGUACCGGAUGAAUAAGGACCGGCUAAUUCCGUGCCAGCAGCCGCGGUAAUACGGAAGGUCCGGUCGUUAUCCGGAUUUAUUGGGUUUAAGGGGAGCGGAGGCCGGUGUUUAAGGGUGCAGUGAAAUUGUGUGGCUUAACCAUGAGUAUGCGGCGGUAACUGGUGACCUUGAGUGCGAGAGGGGCAGGCGGAAUUCGUGGUGUAGCGGUGAAAUGCUUAGAUAUCACGAGGAACCCCGAUUGCGAAGGCAGCCUGCUGGAGCGUUACUGACGCUGAGGCUCGAAAGCGUGGGGAGCGAACAGGAUUAGAUACCCGGGUAGUC